ACAGAAGAAAAAAAAGAAUACACCUGGAAAAGAUAUAAUUUGGAACAUACUAUAAUAGGAUAUGCUGCUAUCAUAUUCUUUCUUUUCCUUUUUCAAUUUGAAUCCUUGUUGUCUCU
rnacentral:ribozyme from 14 species